ensembl:misc_RNA Y_RNA Y RNA
GGCUGGUCCGAUGGCAGUGGGUUAUCAGAACUUAUUAACAUUAGUGUCACUAACGUUGGUAUACCACCCCCCCCCCACUGCUAAAUUUGACUGGCUUUAA